UGUGGGAUACGCGCCUUGCCCUUC
rnacentral:siRNA from 1 species